rnacentral:rRNA from 1 species
UUAAGUUAUUAAGGGCGCACGGUGGAUGCCUUGGCACUAGAAGCCGAUGAAGGACGUUACUAACGACGAUAUGCUUUGGGGAGCUGUAAGUAAGCUUUGAUCCAGAGAUUUCCGAAUGGGGAAACCCAGCAUGAGUUAUGUCAUGUUAUCGAUAUGUGAAUACAUAGCAUAUCAGAAGGCACACCCGGAGAACUGAAACAUCUUAGUACCCGGAGGAAGAGAAAGAAAAUUCGAUUCCCUUAGUAGCGGCGAGCGAAAUGGGAAGAGCCCAAACCAACAAGCUUGCUUGUUGGGGUUGUAGGACACUCUAUACGGAGUUACAAAGGACGACAUUAGACGAAUCAUCUGGAAAGAUGAAUCAAAGAAGGUAAUAAUCCUGUAGUCGAAAAUGUUGUCUCUCUUGAGUGGAUCCUGAGUACGACGGAGCACGUGAAAUUCCGUCGGAAUAUGGGAGGACCAUCUCCUAAGGCUAAAUACUCUCUAGUGACCGAUAGUGAACCAGUACCGUGAGGGAAAGGUGAAAAGCACCCCGGAAGGGGAGUGAAAUAGAACCUGAAACCGUGUGCUUACAAGUAGUCAGAGCCCGUUAAUGGGUGAUGGCGUGCCUUUUGUAGAAUGAACCGGCGAGUUACGAUUUGAUGCAAGGUUAAGCAGUAAAUGUGGAGCCGUAGCGAAAGCGAGUCUGAAUAGGGCGUUUAGUAUUUGGUCGUAGACCCGAAACCAGGUGAUCUACCCUUGGUCAGGUUGAAGUUCAGGUAACACUGAAUGGAGGACCGAACCGACUUACGUUGAAAAGUGAGCGGAUGAACUGAGGGUAGCGGAGAAAUUCCAAUCGAACCUGGAGAUAGCUGGUUCUCUCCGAAAUAGCUUUAGGGCUAGCCUCAAGUGAUGAUUAUUGGAGGUAGAGCACUGUUUGGACGAGGGGCCCCUCUCGGGUUACCGAAUUCAGACAAACUCCGAAUGCCAAUUAAUUUAACUUGGGAGUCAGAACAUGGGUGAUAAGGUCCGUGUUCGAAAGGGAAACAGCCCAGACCACCAGCUAAGGUCCCAAAAUAUAUGUUAAGUGGAAAAGGAUGUGGCGUUGCCCAGACAACUAGGAUGUUGGCUUAGAAGCAGCCAUCAUUUAAAGAGUGCGUAAUAGCUCACUAGUCGAGUGACACUGCGCCGAAAAUGUACCGGGGCUAAACAUAUUACCGAAGCUGUGGAUUGUCCUUUGGACAAUGGUAGGAGAGCGUUCUAAGGGCGUUGAAGCAUGAUCGUAAGGACAUGUGGAGCGCUUAGAAGUGAGAAUGCCGGUGUGAGUAGCGAAAGACGGGUGAGAAUCCCGUCCACCGAUUGACUAAGGUUUCCAGAGGAAGGCUCGUCCGCUCUGGGUUAGUCGGGUCCUAAGCUGAGGCCGACAGGCGUAGGCGAUGGAUAACAGGUUGAUAUUCCUGUACCACCUAUAAUCGUUUUAAUCGAUGGGGGGACGCAGUAGGAUAGGCGAAGCGUGCGAUUGGAUUGCACGUCUAAGCAGUAAGGCUGAGUAUUAGGCAAAUCCGGUACUCGUUAAGGCUGAGCUGUGAUGGGGAGAAGACAUUGUGUCUUCGAGUCGUUGAUUUCACACUGCCGAGAAAAGCCUCUAGAUAGAAAAUAGGUGCCCGUACCGCAAACCGACACAGGUAGUCAAGAUGAGAAUUCUAAGGUGAGCGAGCGAACUCUCGUUAAGGAACUCGGCAAAAUGACCCCGUAACUUCGGGAGAAGGGGUGCUCUUUAGGGUUAACGCCCAGAAGAGCCGCAGUGAAUAGGCCCAAGCGACUGUUUAUCAAAAACACAGGUCUCUGCUAAACCGUAAGGUGAUGUAUAGGGGCUGACGCCUGCCCGGUGCUGGAAGGUUAAGAGGAGUGGUUAGCUUCUGCGAAGCUACGAAUCGAAGCCCCAGUAAACGGCGGCCGUAACUAUAACGGUCCUAAGGUAGCGAAAUUCCUUGUCGGGUAAGUUCCGACCCGCACGAAAGGCGUAACGAUUUGGGCACUGUCUCAACGAGAGACUCGGUGAAAUCAUAGUACCUGUGAAGAUGCAGGUUACCCGCGACAGGACGGAAAGACCCCGUGGAGCUUUACUGUAGCCUGAUAUUGAAAUUCGGCACAGCUUGUACAGGAUAGGUAGGAGCCUUUGAAACGUGAGCGCUAGCUUACGUGGAGGCGCUGGUGGGAUACUACCCUAGCUGUGUUGGCUUUCUAACCCGCACCACUUAUCGUGGUGGGAGACAGUGUCAGGCGGGCAGUUUGACUGGGGCGGUCGCCUCCUAAAAGGUAACGGAGGCGCUCAAAGGUUCCCUCAGAAUGGUUGGAAAUCAUUCAUAGAGUGUAAAGGCAUAAGGGAGCUUGACUGCGAGACCUACAAGUCGAGCAGGGUCGAAAGACGGACUUAGUGAUCCGGUGGUUCCGCAUGGAAGGGCCAUCGCUCAACGGAUAAAAGCUACCCCGGGGAUAACAGGCUUAUCUCCCCCAAGAGUUCACAUCGACGGGGAGGUUUGGCACCUCGAUGUCGGCUCAUCGCAUCCUGGGGCUGUAGUCGGUCCCAAGGGUUGGGCUGUUCGCCCAUUAAAGCGGUACGCGAGCUGGGUUCAGAACGUCGUGAGACAGUUCGGUCCCUAUCCGUCGUGGGCGUAGGAAAUUUGAGAGGAGCUGUCCUUAGUACGAGAGGACCGGGAUGGACAUACCUCUGGUGUACCAGUUGUCGUGCCAACGGCAUAGCUGGGUAGCUAUGUGUGGACGGGAUAAGUGCUGAAAGCAUCUAAGCAUGAAGCCCCCCUCAAGAUGAGAUUUCCCAACUUCGGUUAUAAGAUCCCUCAAAGAUGAUGAGGUUAAUAGGUUCGAGGUGGAAGCAUGGUGACAUGUGGAGCUGACGAAUACUAAUCGAUCGAAGACUUAAUCAA